ensembl:lncRNA
GCAAAGUGGAAGGGGAAGUGGUAGGGGUAGGGGAAAGGAAAGAAGGGAAUGGAAUUAAUAUGAGAAAAUGAAAACAUGGAAACAAAGUCUUUGUAAAUAGGGAGGGACGGAGGGGUUGAAGUUGAGGGGAAAGGGGGGAAAAAACCCAUUCAGAACUGGCUUUAACUAAACACAACUGACCAUCACUAUGUGAAAAACCAAAUGCUUUAAUGAAGCUACCAGGAACAACAGUUCAAUUGUUUCAUUGGAUACAUUAAUAUCAAUCCAUAAUGUACAUUUCUAUGGACCGUACAGAAAUUAUUGCUGUAUCCAACAGCAGGUGACUAUUAUUAACAUUACAGUACCAAGUGUCCACAAGAGACAGUCACUUGUCAUUUUAUCAAGAAAUAGGGUUUUUAUACUGCUAUCAACAUCAACUCUUCCCCAGUGCAUUUUUCAAAAGUAUUACUAAGUGCAUUCUUUUGUGCUUUAUUUUAUAUCUUUUAAUGUCCUAUGUAUUUUAUUUGUUCUUAUUGCUUUAUUGUUUAAAAACAACCAGAAAGAAGUUUGUCAUCUUUGAUGUAUGACCAGGUUGCUUGUACAGUUUUUGGCAAAGUCAGAAGGUUUGGUAUGUCCAUUGUCUUACCUAGAGGCAGGUGGACAAUUAUGGUAUUUUGGUCACCCCAAAUGGAGGCCCAACCCUGAGCCACAAUUCUGCACCCAGGGAUGGGGGGGAGUGGUGUGGAUCAUUCUCUUGUUAAAAACAGCAAGCCCCAAACAUUGCCUCUUGGCUUAAAUAGUCCCUAAGAUGAAUCCACAUACUGUUUGGCAAAAAAGAAAGAAAUAAAACCACCCCCCAGGGUUGCAGCAUUCUCCUGAGCUUGCUCACCUGCCACUCUCAGCAACUGUGUCUUAAGAAGGUCACAGGGAAGUAGGAGAUGACAGCUCAGGAGUCGCAGGAUUUAGGCAGUGGUACAAGAUGCCAUACACUCUCUCAACAAAGCUUUCCAGAAGGCUGCUUCACCAUGGCUGUAUUCCUUCGGCCAUAGUCAGUUAACGUUGGGUUUAUUGCUAAAACCCCUCAAGAUCAGCUUAAAAAAACUGGCAUCAUAGCAUCACCAUCUUCCACUUUCACACCCAGUCCCCUCCCCCCAUAUAAAUAUGAAGAGAAAAGUAGACGAUACUAUGAUUGUAUCAAUGAACACUAAGAUACAGUUUGCUGUUCAUGCAGAUUUGCAUCACUAUUCUAGGAAAAGAGCUAUACAAUUAAGAGGGUUAAAAUAAUGGGAACUAAUCUUCCCUACCCCCUUAAGUAAUAAAGCUAUAAAAGUAAUAGCAUCAUCAGUGUUUCCUACGAGUCUAAGGAGUCUUGUUGCCCAACGUGCCUGGGGAUGACGUAGUUGAUUAUUAACACUGAUGCCAUCCAUUCACACAGCUGACAAUUACUCCUCUCCCAUCCCUCCAUCACCCACCACCAAUUCACAUUUGACAUUUAAACACUUUUAAAAAAACCUUCUGAAUAAGGUUUCUUGAUGAAAGAAGUUGGCACUCUGUCACUAAAAUAUGUUUCAUAUUAAAAAUAUGUGAAGGAAAAUUGGAAGCUCUUAUAUGGUCUACAUAGGCACCAUGCUACAUGUUCCUGUCGACUAGAGAUACCAUCUUGAAACUUUCUCCUACAUUACAGUUCAGUCAGUGCUAGUCCAAAAAAGACUACUGUUAUAUUUAAGGCACUUCAUUCUGAAUGGAUAUGCUUUAUGCCACUCGCUAUUCAAUUGUAGGCUGCUACUGAGAAAUUCCAUUCCCCAGCCUGGCUUAUAACAUGAUAUGUCAUCUGUAUAAAACACCUAGGCUUGAUACAUAUAACACUACUGUUAUUGCAUAGGGCUACACAAAGAGAUAAUGCACUGAAACUAACUUUACAACAUUGCUGCUUGUUAAAACAUUGUUAUCAAGUAACAGUAAUUUGCCAAUCCAGUAUUUUUCUCUUUAAAAAAAUCCAGUGAGUUUGCUGAAAUAAACCCCAAUUUUAAUAACCAUAAUGGGCAUAGUAAUACUAUGGUUAUCAGUCUCCAAGAAUAUUGCUAUUUUUU